CUCUGACAGAGGACAGGGAAAAGUAGAUGACAGAGAAAGUGAGAAAGAGCUGAUGAGAAACACGAGCAUGCAAUGCAUCAUACACACACACGCGCGGGCGCGGGCGCGCAACCACAAAGGAAAUACAAUGUGCUAGUAUUAGCUCGAUAUGGGCUACUACUGAAUAGCUGCGAAACUUGGACACAACAUCAAACGAUUCAUCAAGCGCUUUGGCCGAUAUUGAUACCGUCGAUGCUUCUCCAUUCUGGACUAGAUUUAAACACAGGGGCAGCUUAAAACUUCCAUCCCAUGGCUGCUCACUUCCCAAACUGGACAUAGAAACUCUGCGCUCGUGCACAACAAUGCAGUAGGAACUCCAAUCAUCCGCUCUAAUGUGUUCAUGGACCUGAGAAAAGUGAACAGUCAAGCAAUAUUCCACUCAACCCGCCGCGAACCAGCUCAAGUUAUUUCCCAGAAAGUGCGCCAUGUUGUCAAUCCGUUUUUUCCGGAGUAGGCUAACGGAAUUUGUGGCCGGUGGAGGCGGGUCUCGUAGGCUGGGGCUCCACGGAUGCAGCUC
ensembl:lncRNA